AUACCUUCUGUACAAGAAGAUAAAACGCAUUGUAUAUAGUUAUACUAGAGAGUUAGGUGAAAAAAGGAAGCGUGACGAAGCGAAACAAUGGCGCGACGAAUCCUCAUGGUUCUAACGGCGUCCUCAUAUCAGCGCUCUUCAGUGUCCUCAACGAGCAAUAAGUUGAUACAACCCGUACUACCCGACGCGCUCAAGGCGUGUAACACGUCUGAUCACAGCGCGUUUACGAAGUGUUUUCGCUGUACUGGAACCGUGCAAACACCACUCACAUCUACAUCGUUCCCACACGGUCUUACCGCUCACCUUGCCCUCGUUCCAAAACUGUGUUACGGUCAUCUGAACUCUCUAGCACAAUGGAAACGUCCAGCAUUCAAUACAUAGAUGGUGACGUCACUACGUAAUUGUCACCUCUAUACUAAGACGCAUCACAUUCCCCUGGUUUGGGUAUUAUGCUUCCGCCAAAGUAGUUCUGCGUAGGAAUGAAACUGUUAAUAAUGAAAGAAAAAUCAGUUUUUAUUGUGUGUUUAAAACGGAAAAUUGUUUAAAGAAAUGUUUUUUUUUAAUUAUGUUUAAAUGUGAUUUUGAAUCUCUAUUAAGACUGAUAGCGAUAAUCAGAAGCACGAUUACCUGACCUACUUUCGCCUUCACUUUUCACUCGUACAAGAAAUGCUACCCACGAAUCCUUUCGCGUUAGCACACAGGUCAGAAAGACCGGUGUGUACACAAUGAACGUCCAGCUGCAGCGAUGUCUUUAAGCAUGUUUAAAACGAUCACCGCGAUAUGGCGUUCCAUGCGAUGGCACGGCGAAAUCAAAGCGUUGCCAUGGCAUAGCUGGUGACUGCACAGCGUGCAUCUCGCCGUUCAGAAUAGUUUUAGGACGCAGUGAGAGUACCGCGCGAACGUAGCCCCUGUAUCCAUGUAGUUGAACCAGCUUCGAGAAACUCCUUGAAAAAAAAACGUAUGCACAUCGUUUUAAUAUCAGGACAAUUCACAAUUGAAACAAGAACAUAUUCUUGUUAUUUCACCUCCGGUUCACAGGUCGACUGAUUCCGUUCCAAUGACAACAACCGGAAAUUAUAUGUAUGCUUAGUAUAUACUUUUAGUUGAGUUCAAGAUUUAUGCAAGAAAAAUGCAAUCUAUAGGCAGAAUAACAUGAAUGCCAGUUUAUCAAAUGAACGUUACUGUAUAACUGGAAAUGUGUGGUUGUAUGU